CAAAAUGUGGAGUUGCAACAAAUUUGUUUAAGCCUGGUUUCCAGUGUCCUCGAAGUUGGCCUAAGCCAGAUAAAUCCAAUCUCGUACCCAGAGCCAUCGUUGAGUGGCUCUGGCCACACGGGAUUGAAAAACGAUCCUGAUUGGUCGAUCCAUAAGCUAUUGGACCCAUACCCCCUGUGGCGUUCACAUGCGCGGCCAAUAUGAGUGAACACGAUAUAUUUGCUAAUAUUUUGCCUGAAAAUUUGCUUAUUUCGACGAGUUUUUUGUUGCUUUUCGUCCGAAAAAGUGGUGAAGGGAUUAAGGAGUUGAUUUAUGCAUACUUGAAUACAUUUGGGCAAAAUAACAGGCUUCGUUAUGGUAAUAAUUCAUACUCUUGGUUCACUCUGAGUGAGUAUUGAUGGGAAUGAUGGCAUAUGUCCUUGAUCUACUACUAUAUAUUGGAGUGUUAUUAUUGAAAACAAAUUCAAGCGUACAAGACUUACAAGCGUACACGUAUGCUACGACUGUGUUUGUACAAGAUUUGGGAUUUUUUAAUUGAACUGUAAAUGUAUGAAUCAUGGUAUGAAUGCAACAAUUAAACAGCAUUUGGAUUCUUUUGCAACUUGUCAACUCGUUUGAAUGUUUGAUAGAAUUGUUUGAUGAUAUAGUGUUUCUGUUUACAGUAUUGCCUGUACAACUCUGUCAGAAACAUUGGUGUUAGUAGCCAAAAAAGGUUUCAUUAAAGGCCAUGUAAAGUAUGUAAUGUAAACAAACCGUCAAACCCUUUGUUUACAUUCUGAACCCAGUGCUAAAGUUGUAAAAUAUUAGAUAUAUAAUAUUAUACUAAAUUUUUAACACUCUUCUGGUUUGCUAUGCUUGUAAAUGAAUACAGACUAGAUAUUCAAUUCAAGAAAGUUUGGAAGGUACAAAAUAUUAAUAACAUAUUUCCAGUGGUCGGGACCCGACUUCCAAUGGGUCUGCAAAACGCAUGCGCAGAACAGACUUUACAUGGUCUUUAACAAUAGCAGUAUGUACUACGUACAGUAUGUAAUAAUAUGAAUUUAUAUAAUUUAUACAAUGGUUC
rnacentral:lncRNA from 1 species